UAGGUUUGUCCCCUCAAUGUCAGACAGGA
rnacentral:piRNA from 1 species